GCCUGGGUGGCUCAGUCGGUUGAGCAUCUGACUUCGGCUCAGGUCACGAUCUCGCGGUCCGUGAGUUCGAGCCCCGCGUCGGGCU
rnacentral:tRNA from 1 species